UACGUAGGGGGCAAGCGUUGUCCGGAAUCAUUGGGCGUAAAGCGCGUGUAGGCUGCUUUGCAAGUCGGAUGUGAAAGCCCUGGGCUCAACCUAGGAAGUGCACUCGAAACUGCAAAGCUUGAGUCUCGGAGAGGAUCGCGGAAUUCUCGGUGUAGAGGUGAAAUUCGUAGAUAUCGAGAGGAACACCGGUGGCGAAGGCGGCGAUCUGGACGAUGACUGACGCUGAGACGCGAAAGCGUGGGGAGCAAACAGG
rnacentral:rRNA from 1 species